rnacentral:misc_RNA from 1 species
GCAAAUCGUUAUCCUUUCACUGAGGAUCUUGGCAAGCAAAAGCGGAUGAUUGAUGAGGUCUCAGGAAGAGUCUCAGAAUUGAAGACUACCCUAGAUUCAGGAAUACUUCAUAGGAGCAAUUUGCUGCAGACUAUUGGUGAUCAAUUUGUGCAGUGGAACUCAAUGGUGAGGAAGGAGAAAUCCAUCUACCACACUCUAAACAUGCUUAGUCUUGAUGUGACAAAAAAGUGUCUUGUCGCUGAGGGGUGGAGUCCUGUUUUUGCCUCAAAGCAGAUCCAAGAAGCAUUGCAACGUGCUGCAUUUGAUUCCAACUCACAGGUUGGGGCCAUUUUCCAGGUUUUGCAUACAAAGGAGUCCCCACCUACAUAUUUUCGCACAAAUAAAUUUACUACUGCUUUUCAAGAAAUUGUUGAUGCAUAUGGGGUGGCCAAGUAUCAAGAAGCAAAUCCUGGUGUAUACACUAUUGUUACAUUCCCUUUUCUUUUUGCUGUCAUGUUUGGUGAUUGGGGGCAUGGAAUAUGCUUGUUACUUGCAACCCUAAUCUACAUAAUCAGGGAAAAGAAACUUUCUGGCCAGAAGCUUGGGGAUAUUACUGAAAUGACCUUUGGUGGUCGUUAUGUUAUCUUGUUGAUGGCACUCUUCUCAAUUUACACCGGUUUGAUCUAUAAUGAGUUCUUCUCAGUUCCCUUUGAGCUGUUUGGAAGCUCAGCAUAUGCAUGUCGUGAUCUUUCUUGCAGGGAUGCUACUACAGAGGGGUUGAUUAAGGUGGGCUCCACUUACCCAUUUGGUGUGGAUCCUGUGUGGCAUGGCACUCGCAGUGAGCUGCCAUUUCUAAACUCUUUGAAGAUGAAAAUGUCAAUCCUUCUUGGAGUUGCCCAAAUGAAUCUUGGUAUCAUAUUGAGUUACUUCAAUGCUGUUUAUUUUCGAAAUGGCUU